UACAGAGACUGCGAGCGUUAUUCGGAUUCACUGGGCGUAAAGGGUGCGCAGGCGGCUUUGUGUGUGAGGCGUGAAAGCCCGGGGCUUAACCCCGGAAUUGCACCUCAAACUACAAGGCUAGAGCAUUGGAGAGGGUAGUAGAAUUCAUGGUGUAGCAGUGAAAUGCGCAGAUAUCAGGAAGAACACCCGUGGCGAAAGCGGCUCUCUGGAACGGUACUGACGCUGAGACGCGAAAGCGUGGGGAGCGAACAGG
rnacentral:rRNA from 1 species